UACGUAGGGUGCGAGCGUUAAUCGGAAUUACUGGGCGUAAAGCGUACGCAGGCGGCUGCGCAAGACAGGUGUGAAAUCCCCGGGCUUAACCUGGGAACUGCAUUUGUGACUGCGCGGUUAGAGUCCGUAAGAGUGGGGUGGAAUUCCACGUGUAGCAGUGAAAUGCGUAGAGAUUUGGAGGAACACCGAUGGUGAAGGUAGCCCCCUGGGAUGAGACUGACGCUCAUGUACGAAAGCGUGGGGAGCAAACAGG
rnacentral:rRNA from 1 species